rnacentral:antisense_RNA from 1 species
AAUUAUGGUGGCUCGGGCGGGGCAGUCUUCGGACUGGCCGGUAUCCAUUGAGGCCGGUAUUCCUACCCCCGUUCGAGUCACCACCAAU